rnacentral:rRNA from 1 species
UACGUAGGUGCCGAGCGUUAUCCGGAUUUAUUGGGCGUAAAGCGAGCGCAGGCGGUUAGAUAAGUCUGAAGUGAAAGGCCGUGGCUUAACCAUAGUAUGCCUUGGGAACUGUUUAACUUGAGUGCAGAAGGGGAGAGUGGAAUUCCAUGUGUAGCGGUGAAAUGCGUAGAGAUAUGGAGGAACACCGGUGGCGAAAGCGGCUCUCUGGUCAGUAACUGACGCUGAGGCUCGAAAGCGUGGGGAGCAAACAGG